CACACACAAAUCCAUAUUAAAAAUAAAAACAAAAACAAAAACAAAAACACCAAACCAGGUAGGUCUUAAGUGCUAGCCAGACAGGGUUAGCAUUCUCCUGUGCAGUUGUGUGCCGUGUGUUCAAGUGAUCAGGACCAGAGCUGUGUGUUCUCCCUAACUCCUCCACAGUGGAUCCUGUUUUAUGUUUGAGGUGCCUUGUCAGAAUUCAAGGCUGAGGGGAUGAACAUGUAUUGUUGUGAUUCUGCCAGGUUACAUGCUGUUUGUUGUACAGUACGAAACCAAACACCCAGUUCUUACUUCCUGAGAUGUCCUUGACCAAAGAGACAAAAAUGAGGCAAAGUACAUAAACACACAUGUUUCUAAGCAGAUGAAACACAGUUUCAGAACCCCGUUCUCCAUGGAAACCCACCAUGGAGUAGAAAUGUGUUUCCUAACUGUCCUGUGGGGAAGAGUCUGGUGGUUUCAACAGCUGUCCUUUGUUCCUGCUGAGGUCUUUGCAGCCACGUGACUUCUCUCAGUGUAUCCGGUCGGGGCUUGAGGAGCUUCCAGGAGUCCCGUGCUUUAAAGGCAACCAUGAAGUGUUUUCAUCAGCUUUGGCAAGACACACGGGCACAGAUGACUGUGGUGAAGGAAUAACAUGGGUUGACUCCCAGGUCCCAGGAGGGAUUGGCCAGCUCUGGAUGCAGUCUUGGUACCUCCGUGCUAUUUUACAUAUCAAUGUGCCACCCCUUUAAUGUGUGAAUAACACCCCUUCAUAUAGAUAAACAUUUUGUCUGUCCAUCUCUAAUUUAUGAACAGUUGUAUUAUGUUCCCAUUUUGGCUGCCGUGAGCAAGGCGGCUACAAACAUUCAUGUCCAAUAUUGAUGUAGGCGUCUGCUUUUACUGUUGCUGUGUACGUGCAUGUUUUCUUUACGCAGAAUAAUGAGGAAAAUUAAAAAAAAAAUAAGUCAAUUGAA
rnacentral:sRNA from 1 species